rnacentral:rRNA from 1 species
GAUGAACGCUGACAGAAUGCUUAACACAUGCAAGUCUUUGGCGAAGCUGUGCUUGCACAGCCUAGCCAAGGCGGACGGGUGAGUAACGCGUAAGGAACUUGCCCUGCAGUCAGGGAUAACAGACGGAAACGACUGAUAAGACCUGGUAAAGUCAGGCGGACUCAUGUCCAGCCUGAUGAAAAGAGAUGCUGCAGGAGAGCCUUGCGUCCUAUUAGCUUGUUGGUGGGGUAACGGCCCACCAAGGCGAUGAUAGGUAGCCGGCCUGAGAGGGUGGACGGCCACAAGGGGACUGAGAUACGGCCCUUACUCCUACGGGAGGCAGCAGUGGGGAAUAUUGGACAAUGGGGGCAACCCUGAUCCAGCAAUUCUGUGUGCACGAUGAGGGUUUUCGGAUUGUAAAGUGCUUUCAGCAGGGAAGAAAAAAAUGACGGUACCUGCAGAAGAAGCGACGGCUAAAUACGUGCCAGCAGCCGCGGUAAUACGUAUGUCGCAAGCGUUAUCCGGAAUUAUUGGACAUAAAGGGCAUCUAGGCGGCCAGAUAAGUCUGGGGUGAAAACUUGCGGCUCAACCGCAAGCCUGCCCUGGAAACUAUGUGGCUAGAGUACUGGAGAGGUGGACGGAACUGCACGAGUAGAGGUGAAAUUCGUAGAUAUGUGCAGGAAUGCCGAUGAUGAAGAUAGUUCACUGGACGGUAACUGACGCUGAAGUGCGAAAGCUAGGGGAGCAAACAGG